rnacentral:rRNA from 1 species
UACAGAGGAGCCAAGCGUUGUCCGGAUUGACUGGGCGUAAAGCGCACGCAGGCGGUUGCGCGCGUGGGGUGUGAAAUCUGGCCGCUUAACGGCCAGGCGCCAUCCCAUACGGCGCGGCUGGAGCCAUGCAGAGGGCGGUGGAAUUGCCGGUGUAGUGGUGAAAUGCGUAGAGAUCGGCAGGAACACCCAGGGGGAAACCAGCCGCCUGGGCAUGCGCUGACGCUGAGGUGCGAGAGCGGUGGGGAGCGAACCGG